AUGGCCUUUGCAAAUCUGUGCAAAGUACUCAUUGGUGACAGCCUGGACCCCUGCUGCUGAAGAUCCUGCAAGAUGGAGGGCUGCAGGUGGUGGAAAAGCAGAACUGGAGCAAGGAGGAGCUGAUAGCCGAGCUGCAGGACUGUGAAGGCCUUAUUGUCCGGUCAGCUACUCAGCUCACUGCUGAUGUCAUCAACUCAGCAGAGAAGCUCCGGGUGGUGGGCAGGGCUGGUGCAGGUGUGGAUAGUGUGGAUCUGGAAGCUGCCAUGAGGAAGGGCAUCCUACUCAUGAACACUCCCAACGGAAACAGCAUUGUGGACAAGGUGCCCUGCAGUCUGGUCAGUGUGCUGGAACUGCACUGGGUGUAUUUACAGAAGAGCCACCAUAGAACUGGGCCUCACUGGACACGAGAAUGUCAUCAGCUGUCUCCAUCUGGGUGCCAGUACCAAGGAGGCCCAGAGCUGCUGUAGGGAGUUUAUGGACAUGGUGAAGGAGAAAUCUAAUGGGUCAUAAAUGCCCAGGCCCUUACCAGUGCCUUCUCUCCAUGUACUAAGCCUUGGAUUGGUCUGGCAGAAGCAUUGGGCACACUAAUGCACGCCUGCCCUCCAACCCCCAAAGGGACCAUCCAGGUGUUAUACAAGGAACAUCACUGAAGAAUGCUGGAACAUGCCUGAGCCCUGCAGUCAUUGUUGACCUUUUGAGAGAAGCAUCAAAGCAGGCAGAUGUAAACUUGGUGAAUGCUAAGAUACUGGUGAAAGAGGCUAGCCUCAAUGUAACUAUCUCCACAGCCCUGGGAUCCCAGGGGGUGGGACAGCAGGAAAUGCCUCCUGACUGUGGCCUUGGCAGGCGCUCCCUACCAAGCUGUGGGCUUGGUCCAGGACACUAUACCAGUGUUACAGGUGCUCAACAGAGCUGUCUUCAGGCCAGAGGUGCCACUACACAGGGGCCAGCUCCUGCUCAUGUUCCGUGCUCAACCCUCCAUCCUUGUAAUGCUGCCCAUUAUGAUCGGCCUCCUGGCAGAGGCCGGUGUACAGCUUCUGUCCUACCAAACCUCCAGGGUAUCUGAUGGAGAGAUCUGGCAUGUCAUGGGCCUCUCCUCCCCGCUGACCAGCCUGGAAGCAUGGAAGCGGCAUGUAUGCGAGGCUUUCCAGUUCUGCUUCUAACCCUGGGGCUCAGUGGGCCCAGCCCCUCAGGCUCUCCUGAAGAAACCUGCUCACUGUGACUUAUAGGGAGAGGAGAUUGUAGAACUGGGGCAUCUGCCUGAACUAAUAUCUAGUAAAGAAUUU